AAAUACAAACUACUAUAUAGACCAUCAAAUAAUGCCUUAAAUCUUCAAUUUGUCCAUCUAUGUUAAAGACCAUUGCUAUAGUUACGAAGAUAGAAAUGACCACCCUAUCAGCCUACUGAUGCUGAAAACUAACAAUCCACUUGUUUGGUAUCCUUCCACUGCCUUUACAGUCACACUUGAUGUCACAAUACUCCAUCUGAAAUUAUUAAAAGUGAUCAUAAUGAACAAGAAUAUAUUUUUGGUUCUAUAAAAUAUACGAGUUGAUAGGAUGUGUUUGAUUCGCAUGCAUUUGAUUCCCGGGAAAAUGAAUAGAAAUGGCUAAGUUUUAAAAGAUUUUGAGUAGGAGAUCGGAAUUCAGAUUCCGGGCAUAGCUAUUUUAUUUGAAUACGAUUUUCAUUUAAAAAAAAAAAAAAAAAAAAAAAAAACCAUUUUAUAUAAUUAAUAGGACAAAGCAGACAAGUGUUUCACUUUAGUAAGAAUUUCGUCAAUCUCUGUCUCUAUUUCUCUCCCUUUUCUGCCCACUCUCUCUCCCUCUCCCAUCAUUCAAUGUUACAUUAGUACCCUUCAUUUCUUUGGAAUUUAAAUUCCAUGAACCAAAGACAGCGAUGAUUAUAGUUCUAAACAUGAUGUUAUUAAAAGUGACUUAAAACCAAACGGGAUAUGACAAGAUUUGGAUAAAAUUUCUAUCAUUUACGGGAACAAAACUACUAAAAAAUUCCCAAGAAAACCAUGAAUCCAAAAAGUCUGUUAACAAUCAACACAAACAUAAACAACAAUAAAAGCUUCAAUCCAACGUUCGGAUACAAAGCAAUAAAGUACAUCCACAAAUACAUAUAUCAGAAAAAAUAAAAGCUUAGAAAAUACUUCGACAACCAAAAUAAACAAUAUUGGUAUGGAACAUAUGGAAGUUCAAACAAAAACUGGAAACAAACAUACUUGAAGCAACAAUAGAUGUAAUGGAACAAUGACAAAAAUAUAUAUUUUUAAUACUUGAUUUUUAGAUUUAUUUAUCUUACUCUCAUAGUCCAAGUUCCUAAGAUUUAAGUUUAGUCUUGCUAUCUAUUAUUUACCACUUUCUGAGAAUCAAAAGCUAUUUAUCUGGUCGAAACUAACGUGGCGUAGCCAUGGGUACAACUAGUAUCUUUAUAAAACACACACCUCUAUAUAGUACGCUGGUCCCAUAAGCCUUGGUGAUGCCAUUAGAUUCAUGGAGGCGGCCACAUGGCUGACAGUGAGAAUGAUCUGAUCAGUACGUGCAAUAGCAUAUUAGGUCUACGCAAAUAAAACAAAAAGACAGAAUUUCUCACAGUAACAUACCCACAUAUAACAACUAGGAAGUAUGAAUCCACCACAAAUCAAUAACUGAAAACAUAUCCAAAAAUGCCAACAGUUAAAGACACAUACUGUUGCCAACAGUUAAAGCCCAAGGAAUAUCGCAGAAAAAGUGAAAAAACCAAAGUACUUAAUUAAUGCAAAUUACUUAAUAAAAAGUUGGCUACCUGGAGCUCUCCAAUGUCAGGAUAUCUUCAAUCGCAACUUUCCACAAGGACCUAAUCCAAACUUCAAUCUCAGAGAUGAAUCCAUUCUCGAAGAACUCACUGAAUUUUACUUGGAAGUUUCUUAUGUUGUCAAAGUAAACCUAGAUGAAGUGUCAUAUCCAGAAACAAAUUAUUAUGUGAGAAUAAAAUGGUCCAACAAACUACAACAUAGACAAGGCCUGGAAGUUUGCUGAAGGGAAGGUCUGAAAGACUAUGGCUAUAUAUCUGUUGGGUCUCUCAGCAACGAUAGUACAUAGGGAGCAAGAGAGUUACCUGGCGCCACAAGCAGCAGCAGUCCAAAAGCUCCCAGCAGCAGUACAAGCAUUCUGCAGGUUUGGUUAGAGUGUUUCCUGGGCUUUCGGCUUUGCUUGUAUGUGUACACAUGGUAUGUAAAGGUGGGGUUGGGAAUGAGAUGAUGUAUAUAACAAGGAAAUGUCUUUUGGGGUGUAAUCUGAUGAUGCAGUCCUUGCAUU
rnacentral:lncRNA from 1 species